rnacentral:rRNA from 1 species
AUUGAACGCUGGCGGCAUGCUUUACACAUGCAAGUCGAACGGCAGCACAGUAAGAGCUUGCUCUUACGGGUGGCGAGUGGCGGACGGGUGAGGAAUACAUCGGAAUCUACUUUUUCGUGGGGGAUAACGUAGGGAAACUUACGCUAAUACCGCAUACGACCUACGGGUGAAAGCAGGGGAUCUCCGGACCUUGCGCGAUUGAAUGAGCCGAUGUCGGAUUAGCUAGUUGGCGGGGUAAAGGCCCACCAAGGCGACGAUCCGUAGCUGGUCUGAGAGGAUGAUCAGCCACACUGGAACUGAGACACGGUCCAGACUCCUACGGGAGGCAGCAGUGGGGAAUAUUGGACAAUGGGCGCAAGCCUGAUCCAGCCAUACCGCGUGGGUGAAGAAGGCCUUCGGGUUGUAAAGCCCUUUUGUUGGGAAAGAAAUCCAGCCGGCUAAUACCUGGUUGGGAUGACGGUACCCAAAGAAUAAGCACCGGCUAACUUCGUGCCAGCCGCCGCGGUAA